GCGCUUGUAGCUCAGUUGGAUAGAGCGCUACCCUCCGAAGGUAGAGGCCUCAGGUUCGAAUCCUGUCAAGCGCA
rfam:Buchnera aphidicola str. Bp (Baizongia pistaciae), complete genome.